GACGAACGCUGGCGGCGUGCUUAACACAUGCGAGUCGAACGGAAAGGCCCUGCUUUUGUGGGGUGCUCGAGUGGCGAACGGGUGAGUAACACGUGAGUAACCUGCCCUUGACUUUGGGAUAACUUCAGGAAACUGGGGCUAAUACCGGAUAGGAGCUCCUGCUGCAUGGUGGGGGUUGGAAAGUUUCGGCGGUUGGGGAUGGACUCGCGGCUUAUCAGCUUGUUGGUGGGGUAGUGGCUUACCAAGGCUUUGACGGGUAGCCGGCCUGAGAGGGUGACCGGCCACAUUAGGACUGCGAUACGGCCCAGACUCCUACGGGAGGCAGCAGUGGGGAAUAUUGCACAAUGGGCGGAAGCCUGAUGCAGCAACGCCGCGUGCGGGAUGACGGCCUUCGGGUUGUAAACCGCUUUCGCCUGUGACGAAGCGUGAGUGACGGUAAUGGGUAAAGAAGCACCGGCUAACUACGUG
rnacentral:rRNA from 1 species